AAGUNUGAAGUUAAAGGCUGUGGCUUAACCAUAGUACGCUUUGGAAACUGUUUAACUNGAGUGCAGAAGGGGAGAGUGGAAUUCCAUGUGUAGCGGUGAAAUGCGUAGAUAUAUGGAGGAACACCGGUGGCGAAAGCGGCUCUCUGGUCUGUAACUGACGCUGAGGCUCGAAAGCGUGGGGAGCGAACAGGAUUAGAUACCCUGGUAGUCCACGCCGUAAACGAUGAGUGCUAGGUGUUAGGCCCUUUCCGGGGCUUAGUGCCGCAGCUAACGUAUUAAGCACUCCGCCUGGGGAGUACGACCGCAAGGUUGAAACUCAAAGGAAUUGACGGGGGCCCGCACAAGCGGUGGAGCAUGUGGUUUAAUUCGAAGCAACGCGAAGAACCUUACCAGGUCUUGACAUCCCGAUGCCCGCUCUAGAGAUAGAGUUUUACUUCGGUACAUCGGUGACAGGUGGUGCAUGGUUGUCGUCAGCUCGUGUCGUGAGAUGUUGGGUUAAGUCCCGCAACGAGCGCAACCCUUAUUGUUAGUUGCCAUCAUUCAGUUGGGCACUCUAGCGAGACUGCCGGUAAUAAACCGGAGGAAGGUGGGGAUGACGUCAAAUCAUCAUGCCCCUUAUGACCCGGGCUACACACGUGCUACAAUGGCUGGUACAACGAGUCGCAAGUCGGUGACGGCAAGCUAAUCUCUUAAAGCCAGUCUCAGUUCGGAUUGUAGGCUGCAACUCGCCUACAUGAAGUCGGAAUCGCCAGUAAUCGCGGAUCAGCACGCCGCGGUGAAUACGUUCCCGGGCCUUGUACACUCCGCCCGUCACACCACGAGAGUUUGUAACACCCGAAGUCGGUGAGGUAACCUUUUAGGAGCCAG
rnacentral:rRNA from 1 species